AGGAUAAACGCUGGCGGCGUGCCUUACGCAUGCAAGUCGAGCGGGGGAGUCACCUUCGGGGGGCUUCCAGCGGCGGACGGGUGAGGAACACGUAAGUGAUCUAGCCGGUUGUGGGGGAUAAUUGCCCGAAAGGGGGAGCUAAUACCGCGUGAGCUGGUGGGGGUGAGGCCUCAUCAGGAAAGGCCCCGCGAGGGGUCGCGACCGGGGGAGCUUGCGGCCGAUUAGCUAGUUGGGCGGGGUAAAGGCCCACCAAGGCGACGAUCGGUAGCUGGCCUGAGAGGGUGGUCAGCCACACUGGGGACUGAGACACGGCCCAGACUCCUACGGGA
rnacentral:rRNA from 1 species